UACGGGGGGGGCAAGCGUUGUUCGGAAUUACUGGGCGUAAAGGGCUCGUAGGCGGCCAACUAAGUCAGACGUGAAAUCCCUCGGCUUAACCGGGGAACUGCGUCUGAUACUGGAUGGCUUGAGUGUAGGAGAGGGAUGCGGAAUUCCAGGUGUAGCGGUGAAAUGCGUAGAUAUCUGGAGGAACACCGGUGGCGAAGGCGGCAUCCUGGACCGGUAUUGACGCUGAGGAGCGAAAGCCAGGGGAGCAAACGGG
rnacentral:rRNA from 1 species